CAGGAAAGCCAGUCCGCAUUCUAUAUCAUCCCUGGGGCUUCUCUUGAGCCACGUUUACGGCCACUCCAGGAUAACAGAGUAUCUCAGGCUGUAACUCAUUUUCCGACCUUUCUUUCCUUUCCGUGGGCUCCGUAUGGAGGUGGACAAAUGGGAACAUGGGAAGGUUGAACUGAAGCUCAGAAACUCUCUCAAAAGCGGGGUGCAAGGAAGCGGGGCCACAGAGACCAGGCAUCUUGCCCUGUGCCUUGGAGUUUAGGGCCACUGUGCGGUUGCUGGGCUUUGGGGUCAGUGUACCUAUAAGACGAGAGCCUCAGAAAAGGAGUGAAAAAAAAAUCUGCAAAAACAAAUUGUCCCCAUCAUACCUUUGGCUGAGCCCUACACGGUGCCUGGUAGGCGGAGACCCAGGGUCAGCUGGAGGCUGCAGGGUAGGGAAGGGUUUCAGAGUCGUGCAGGAGCGGCCAGAGGAGGCCUGCGGAGUCAGCACCUGAGCCCUGCGCUAAGGCUCCGGAAGGACCACACCCUCGUAGUGAGGACAGGUACUGGGAGAAAGGGCUGCACCCUCGCCACGGGGGUAGGACUGCAAAGACUUGCUCCAACCAAGCCUGAAACCAUCACUCACGUCUCAACAUGACCAAGGCAAUGCUUCGGGGAUUUCACUGUGGGCAAGAACAGAACCUCCUCGUCUCCAGAGGAAUCCGACAACCCAGGGCCUGUCCUCUGCUGUGUACGGUUGAGAGCGUCCCCUCCUUCCUCCACAGCUCUGAGCUGGACAGACUGAAGUCCGAGAGGACCUGUCCCCCUCGCCCUGUUCUUCUGCCUCUCCUCACCCAUCUCGCAAGCUGGUCUCUGCUCUCCAGAGCUGGAGCAGAGCAGGCUGCAGGGCAGAAUGGAUGGGAAAUUUCCCCCUGGGUGACCCACUGUGCUCGACAGGGUUGGAUGGUUACUCUUUCUCUUUCAUAGCAUUUAAAAGUGUUCUUCAAAAAUCCCAUUCCCAUCUCUGGCUUGAUGCAUUUUUUCCUGGUUGGUUGCUUAAGCUCCUUCCUUUACCCCUGAGAAUCUCAUGGUCUGGUCCCCUGUUGGACUAACCUUGACCAGGACCUAAGAAGAUCCUAAACUGACUCUCUCUUUCCCUCCUGCCACUGGAAACCCUUGCCUGUUUUGGGGGGUUCCAGAAUACUCUGGGAGGGCAGUCAGAUCCCAA
rnacentral:lncRNA from 1 species